ensembl:lncRNA
AGACAACUGGGAACUCGGAAAAAAACGAGAUCAAAUCGUCCGUGAUCAUAAGGUCGGAAAUUCGGAGCUAUAAAAAGAGGCACAAAUUCCUGACUUGGAAUUCGGAUUUGGAUGACCGUUCAAACUAACUUUCCCAGUCGGAGCUCGUUUUUUCCGAGUUCCCUGUUAUCGUGAACGCAUUGCCGGCGAUUUCCGAGCUCCAGUUGGAGCGCUUCUGUUGGGAUGACGUUUGUUGUCUCCUCUUCAAAAAGCGUGUCCACUCCUACAACCCGUCCUAGUACGCCAUACUCCGACACUGAUCAUUUAUUAGUCUAGUCAUUUGUUUUGAGUUUGAGAGGAGAAAUGAUGAUGAUGAUCAAGUCUGGGUCUGAGGCUCCCAUUCAAUCAGAGGAGAGCGAGACGCAGAAGCAUGGAUUUGGGAAAUGGUUUCCAGAAACGCACAGACCAUGUAGCACACUCAGAAAACGAUGGGGGCUACAUUUCAACAGAUCUGCCAAACACACCUCUGACGGCUUCUCCCUGUGCUGACCACCGAUGGACCUUACACAUGAGAACUGCCGUUGAUGGGCUCCUGGCCAAGCAACACAGGGAGAAAGACAUCCUGACGCGGGUGGAUGGGACAUACAGCUCUACCACCAGUGUCAUGACUGUGUCAUUAGCUGCCACAGCUAAACUAAUUUACUAAUGUUUACUGCACCAUAUAGUAUUUUUUUUUUUCUCUCCAUACAAGAUCUAGGGCAACUGUGCCUCAGUGGUUGGCUAAGCUCCUUCCUGGUUGGCCCUGUCCGUUGAACAGCACCAGUGUCUCACAACUCCUCUGUCUCAGUCACCAGUAAUUAUGCUGCAAUAGUUUGUGCCAGGGGCUAGGGUCAUUUUUUUCUUAUCUGGUGUACUGUGUGUUCUUAGGCAUACUCCCACUAAUCCCCCACAUUUGUCAAUAACAGCUUCGACACAUCAUAGCAACAUGCUUGACUGAAAAUCUUUAAACAUGUAUAUAGACUAAGGUGGAGGCUGCUGAGGGGAGGGCGGCUCAUAAUAAUGGCUGGAAUGGAGUCAAUGGAAUGGUAUCAAAUGUGAUUUCCAUGUGGUUGAUACCAUUCCAUUGAAUCCAUUACUGUGAGCCGUCCUCCUCUCAGCAGCCUCCACUGAUAGACUUUAUGGGGGUGAUGCUGUUGCCCAUCAAAUUUCAUAUAUUAUGUCAAAGUUCUCAAUUAGGAAGAUGAUGUUCAGAAUGACAUGUUCAUGACUGUUGAUGUUUACAGGACUCUCCAAUGCUAUGUUGAAUGAGCACCAGAGAGGGAGGGAGAGGGAAAACAGAUAGCUUCUCGCUACCACACCUUCACCAAGUCAUCCAAUUUUUGCUUCAUUUUCUAAAAUAAAUACAGAAUUAAUUUUAGUUCUAAUAGUUUUUUAGGCUAGAUGUGAGUUAAUUUAGCAGGUCUAUAUUGUUUUGGAAUGUUAUUAAAUAUAUACUCAGUCACAAGUCAUUGCCUUUUAAAAUAUUUGCUGAAACAGUCAUUGGUUUUGGGCUAUGAUCUGUAAAUGUCUACGACCCUUUUUAAAAAGUUGAGUGAAAUGAUUUGUUUUGCUACUGUCUGGUGAGGAAGUGGGCAAUAUGUAAUCAGUUUAUGGAUGUAUAAAUGGAGGGCAUCUGUAAAAGACAUGGACAACGUCAGGAAAUAAGCAGGUAAAUGUAGAGGUUGUCAAUGACCAACGGUGCAGAGAAAUAAUAUAUAUAUAUAUAUAUAUAUAUAUAGUAUGUAUGUGGACACCCCUUCAAAUUAGUGGUUUCAGCUAUUUCAGCCACACCUGUUGCUGACAGGUGUAUAAAAUUGAGCACACCGUCAUGCAAUCUCCAUAGACAAACAUUGGCAGUAGAAUGGCCUUACUGAAGAGCUGUGACUUUCGACGUGGCACUGUCAUAGGAUGGCAAGUCCAACAAGUCCGUUUGUAAAAUGUCUGCCCUAGUCAACUGUAAGUGCUGUUAUUGUGAAGUGGAAACAUCUAGGAGCAACAACGGCUUAGUCAUGAAGUGGUAGGACACAAGCUCACAUAACGGGACCGCCGAGUGCUGAAGCGAGAAAAAAUUGUCUGUCCUCGGUUGCAACACUUACUACCAAGUUCCAAACUGCCUCUGGAAGCAACGUCAGCACAAGAACUGUUCGUCGGGAGCUUCAUGAAAUGGGCUUCCAUGGCCGAGCAGCUGCACACAAGCUUUAGAUCACUGCCAUUGGAUUCUGGAGCAGUGUAAAUUCGUUCUCUGGAGUGAUGAAUCACGCUUCACCAUCUGGCAGUCCGACGGACAAAUGUGGGUUUGGCGGAUACCAGGAGAACGCUACCUGCCAGAAUGCAUAGUGCCAACUGUAAAGUUAGGUGGAGGAGGAAUAAUGGUCUGGGGCUGUUUAUCAUGAUUCAUGCUUGGUCUCUUAGUUCCAGUGACGGAAAUCUUAAUGCUACAGCAUAAAAUGACAUUCUAUACGAUUCUUUCCAACUUUGUGGCUCCUGUUUCAACAUGACAAUGCCCACGUGUACAAGCCAGGUCCAUACAGAAAUGGUUUGUCGAGAUCGGUGUAGAACUUUACUGGCCUGCACAGAGCCCUGACCUCAACUCCAUCGAACACCUUUGGUAUGAAUUGGAAUGCGGACUGAGAGUCAAGCCUAAUUGCCCAACAUCAGUGCCCGGCCUAACUGGCUGAAUUGAAGCAAGUCCCCGCAUCAGUGUUCCAGAGUGGAGGCUGUUAUAGCAGCGAAGUCCAUGACUUUGGAAUGAGAAAUUCGACGAGCAGGAGUCCACUUACUUUUGGUCAUGUAGUGUAUGUUAGCUGGACGUGGCUAGCUAGCUGUUUUCAAAACAUUGGACCAACUUGAGCAAUGAGAUCCCAGCUUGCUACUGUAGAUAGCGUAGCCUAACCAAAUAUACACCUUAGAAAACAAUUUAGUAAAAUACUGUUAGCUUCAACUAACAUAACAAGUACAUAGACCUAUUUCUCUGUAAAACAACGUUAGAUCCAGUCUGACAUUAGCCAGAAGGUUCUGAUUCUAGCUAGCAUCAGCUUUGUAGUGGUUAUACUAUGUUGAAACACUCAUUUUAAAAAUGUUUUCCACAAGCGUAUUGCUGUAGAUUUUAAAUUCUGUAAAUGUAAUUUAGCAAUUUUAACAAAAUCUCCUGUUGGCUGCCUGACAUCGCACCCGAAACGGCUUCCCCGGUAUGAAGAGCGGUUGGAACUUUCGAGCGUGGAAUGUGCAUUGGAGGGUAAUGCAUCCUUCUCUUUACAUGUCCUUAUAAUUCGAAAGAUUGCUCAGAAAACCAGGUGUUUUAAACGGCGUAUGCCUUACGAUUAUUAACAUAAUCAGAGUAAGGUGUUUACAUGGCUAAUUACAUACUCGGCCAUCUGUCAUAAUCAGUUUAAUAUCGAUUUUUUUUUGGUGAAUCGUUUCAUGAACAUUGUGCAGUACUGUACUCGGCCUCUAGGAUGUGUCAUUGACUCACAUUAGGUCCUUAGGCGCACACUGCGUCCAUACG